rnacentral:piRNA from 1 species
UGAAUCAGAGAGUGGGUGAUUCC